AACCAGUUCAACUUAAAACAUUUUGCGUCUACCUUCACCUUCCUGGGAAACCUACUCAAAGCAGCUCCAAAUGUGGCCCAUUGCAUUGUCACUCGAUACGUGCCCAUUUUGGAGCAGCUGUGCUCAUCUUUGACAUACCCUGAUGAAGACCUGAAGGCUUCAAUCAUGUACGUGUGGUGCCAACUACUCAGUAGCGCUGGUGGCUCUGCAGCUCAGUCGUUACCCAUCGCGAUCAGGGACAGACUGUGCAUCCUGCUGCUGCAGACGUUAGCUAAAGCCACCUCGCCGCAUCUCAUUGGAAAUUGUCUCGGUCUGCUGUGGCAACUGGUGCAGAUGAGCGAGGCAGUAUCCGCUCUGAUGAAAUGCCCCGGCUCUCUGAUUUUAAACGAUGAGAGCCAAGAGUUCCUGACUAACAGCCAGUCCCUCGAGCAGAACCAAGAACAACAGCUCCCAGACCACUGCCCUCUGCCUCUCAUCCUGAAAAAGGUCUCUGUCCAAACAUCUCGCCCCUACCGACGAGGCCUGCAGUCUAGCACUGAUGCUAAUGAUAACAACAGAUUCUGAUGUCGGAUUAAUGUGCCUCUGAGUUAGGAUUCAGGAAAGCUUUUACCCUGGACAAAUAUUUGGGCUUUGUGUCUGGGAAAUCACACUGUUGAUCCAGUCUUGUUGGAAUUUCUCAGUGUUGGCUCAUGUUACGAAGCAGCUCAUGAUGACAUUAGGCUUUUAUGUUUUGCUGCUCUGAGAUUUAACACUUUGCUAGAUAACCUGUGGGAAUGGAGGUCAGCCA
rnacentral:lncRNA from 1 species